rnacentral:rRNA from 1 species
UACGAAGGGGGCUAGCGUUGUUCGGAAUCACUGGGCGUAAAGGGCGCGUGAGCGGCUGUUCAAGUCGGGGGUGAAAGCCUGUGGCUCAACCACAGAAUUGCCUUCGAUACUGGACGGCUCGAGACCGGAAGAGGUCAGUGGAACUGCGAGUGUAGAGGUGAAAUUCGUAGAUAUUCGCAAGAACACCAGUGGCGAAGGCGGCUGACUGGUCCGGUUCUGACGCUGAGGCGCGAAAGCGUGGGGAGCAAACAGG